rnacentral:rRNA from 1 species
GACGAACGCUGGCGGCGUGCUUAACACAUGCAAGUCGAGCGGAAAGGCCACUUCGGUGGUACUCGAGCGGCGAACGGGUGAGUAACACGUGAGUAAUCUGCCCCUCACUUUGGGAUAGCCACCGGAAACGGUGAUUAAUACCGGAUAUGACCAUAUGUCGCAUGGCGUGUGGUGGAAAGUUUUUCGGUGAGGGAUGUGCUCGCGGCCUAUCAGCUUGAUGGUGAGGUAAUGGCUCACCAUGGCUUCGACGGGUAGCCGGCCUGAGGGGGUGACCGGUCACACUGGGACUGAGACACGGCCCAGACUCCUACGGGAGGCAGCAGUGGGGAAUAUUGGACAAUGGGCGGAAGCCUGAUCCAGCAACGCCGCGUGAGGGAUGACGGCCUUCGGGUUGUAAACCUCUUUCAGUACCGACGAAGCGCAAGUGACGGUAGGUACAGAAGAAGCACCGGCCAACUACGUG